GAAAUGCGAUAAGUAGUGUGAAUUGCAGAAUUCAGUGAAUCAUCGAAUCUUUGAACGCACAUUGCGCCCCUUGGUAUUCCAUGGGGCAUGCCUGUUCGAGCGUCAUUUGUACCCUCAAGCUCUGCUUGGUGUUGGGUGUUUGUCCCGUCUCCGCGCGUGGACUCGCCCCAAAGUGAUUGGCAGCCGGCGUACUGGUCCCGGAGCGCAGCACAUGUCGCGCAAACGAGUGCCUUGGUACGGCGGCGUCCAUAAGCCCCUCUCUCACGCUCUUGACCUCGGAUCAGGUAGGGAUACCCGCUGAACAUAAGC
rnacentral:misc_RNA from 1 species